rfam:Sporolactobacillus inulinus CASD NODE_171, whole genome shotgun sequence.
GGAAUCCCGUCGGAAAGCAUUAGCCACUCAUCCGUAGCGAGUCUUGUUGAAGGGAUUGAGCCUCGAAAACUUAUGAAAAUGGGAAUGCUGAUGGCGUUAUACUUCCAGAAGGCAACACACCAGUCAUCGUUAAGGCAAGAGGACUGGUGGUUCCCCGGGGUCAGAGGGCC